rnacentral:rRNA from 1 species
AGCGGGAUGAGCUCAAAUUUGUAAUCUGGUGGACUCAGUUCAUCCGAGUUGUAAUCUAUAGAAAAGUUUUCCGCGCCGGACCGUGUCUAAGUCCCUUGGAACAGGGUGUCAGAGAGGGUGAGAAUCCCGUGCUUGAUACGACCACCGGUGCUAUGUGAUACUUUUUCAACGAGUCGAGUUGUUUGGGAAUGCAGCUCAAAAUGGGUGGUAAAUUCCAUCUAAAGCUAAAUAUUGGCGAGAGACCGAUAGCGAACAAGUACCGUGAGGGAAAGAUGAAAAGCACUUUGGAAAGAGAGUUAAACAGUACGUGAAAUUGUUAAAAGGGAAACGAUUGAAGUCAGUCGUGCUCUCUGGGACUCAGCCGGUUCUUCCGGUGUAUUUCCCAGUGAGCGGGUCAACAUCAGUUUAGAUCGCUGGAUAAGGUCAUUAGGAAUGUGGCUCCCUCGGGAGUGUUAUAGCCUAGUGUCGCAUACUGUGGUUUAGACUGAGGAACGCAGCUCGCCUUUAUGGCCGGGGUUCGCCCACGUCCGAGCUUAGGAUGUUGACAUAAUGGCUUUAAACGACCCGUCUUG